rnacentral:rRNA from 1 species
UACGAAGGGGGCUAGCGUUGCUCGGAAUCACUGGGCGUAAAGGGUGCGUAGGCGGGUUUUUAAGUCAGGGGUGAAAUCCUGGAGCUCAACUCCAGAACUGCCUUUGAUACUGAAGAUCUUGAGUCCGGGAGAGGUGAGUGGAACUGCGAGUGUAGAGGUGAAAUUCGUAGAUAUUCGGCGGAACACCAGUGGCGAAGGCGACUCACUGGCCCGAUACUGACGCUGAGGCGCGAAAGCGUGGGGAGCAAACAGG